rnacentral:snRNA from 1 species
ACAGAAUUACAGAGAUUACAUGA